rnacentral:lncRNA from 1 species
CUUCUUUCUGCUUAGAGUCCUAUUUCAAAAAUUCCUUCAGAAGUUUUCGCAGCGAAUACAUUUGCACCUGUCAGUUCACAGGAACCUAUCACUGUCUUCCAGGAACAGAAAACAUCGGAAAAGCAGAUUUGCAAAUGACUUUGGAUUCAGCAGGAAGAUAAUUUUAUGGGGCACUUGGACUUGGAAGUAGGCGUUUUGCAGAUUAAAGCAUAUGGUGUUCGAAUCCUCCCUGUCUGUCAUCAGGAACAGAUGAUGCCAGCCCACUCAAGCCUUUAGGCUCUAUGGCACUUCGUAGAGUUUCUGCCUUUAGCUGAAUCUUACCAUUAUCGCUGAGAACCCUUAGAACUGCAACUAAAACUGCGUUGUUGUAUCAUGCCAUUCGAAGGAGAACUGAGUCCAUCUGUAUCCACUAAUUUUUAAAGUCAACAGGCCAGCAGUACCCAGUUAACCGAGAUGUCAACACUGUGGAGUUGUAGGUCAUAUUUCAUCAUCUAGAAGGAUACACUGCUGCCAGGCUUGCAGUUUUCCAUACGUGCACUCACACCUGCAUCUACCGCUUGAUUAAGAAAUACUGUGGUAUCUUCAAUAUCACUGUGUGGUUACUGAUGCGUCCUCAAAUCUACUCACAGAAGAGGAAGGAGUUAAUGACUGCAACUGGCUGCAUGAACUCUCCAGCCUCUCCCAGGACUUCCCAAAGCAGAUGAUUUUUUUACGUCUCUGUGCCUGCAUUAAAGGGAAGGGCAAUAAGAAAAUGAGAUAAGCAUGUUUUCAAAACUCAAGCCAUAUCUACUUUGUGACAGAAUAAACCAAGCACCAUAACCAGAACAAACCAGUGACCAUGCUUCAGCUGCAUCUCAGACUGCCAGCCACUGCCAGGAAGGAGUGUCUGAAGGUGUUACAGUGGGUCAUCCUUGCUCGUCUUACACUGGCAGCAUAUAUGGAUUCGGAGUUGUGUCAUCGUUUUUUCAGAUCUGUCAUUAUGAAGAAAAGGCUGCAGUGCAUCCUGGCCAAAUCUAAGCACAUAUUAUGAUCUUAUCUCAGCUUUUGGAAAUUCUUCUGUAAUGUCCAGGACAAAAUAAUGAAACUAUGACCUGUGAAUGGAGUGAAGCUCACCUUUGUGCUGCUCUGCCUUCAUCUGAAUGAAAUUCAACUGUUGGUUACGCUUUAAAAAGAAAAGGUUUUCCACUGUCUGAUCUCUUCAUUGGUCUGAAUCUGAACAGUGGUUCCUAACAGACUGAAGCUUCAAGGAGUGAACUUGGAAUCAGAACCACGCCUUGGAAAAUCUGGUCACUUGAGAUGGAAUAGAUAAUAAUCUUAAAAAUAAAAGUACCCUGGACAAAGCGUUUUGAAAAUAAAAUGAGCUGUGUAAAAGAGUUUGCCCCACUACAGGCUUGCACUGGAUGUGCCCUUCAGCUUACUUUUCUGCUUCAUGAGCUACAUCCCUACAUCUUUGGGGUGUAUGUAGACAUGGAAUGGAAGUGCCUGAAAGCUCAAGAUGAGUAGUGCAGGA